rnacentral:rRNA from 1 species
AUUGAACGCUGGCGGCAGGCCUAACACAUGCAAGUCGAACGAGUGGCGGACGGGUGAGUAAUGUAUGGGGAACUGCCCGAUCGAGGGGGAUAACUACUGGAAACGGUGGCUAAUACCGCAUACUCUCGGAUGAACCCAUAUGGGAUUAGCUAGUAGGUGGGGUAAUGGCGCACCUAGGCGACGAGCUAUAGCUGGUCGGAGAGGAUGAUCAGACACACUGGAACGGAGACACGGCCCAGACUCCAACGUGAGGCAGCAGUGGGGAAGAUUGCAAAAUGGGCGCAAGCCUGAUGCAGCCAUGCCGCGGGUAUGAAGAAGGCUUUAGGGUUGUAAAGUACUUUAAGCGGGGAGGCGUUACCCGCAGAAGAAGCACCGGCUAACUCCGUGCCAGCAGCCGCGGUAAUAC